GAAAAUGAAUACUAUACUCCCUAUUGCCAUUGUCUCCUGUUGCCUGAACCCUGAGUCAAUCUCCUCUGGGUUUGAGCACACACACUCCCAGAACUGAGGUCACUCUCAAGACCUAAGUCUCCCUCUAGGGUCUCAAAUCUAGAGCCCCUGAACUUUGAGUCUCAAAUUCAACGAACCCUACACCUGAUCCCUAAAUAUAAGACUUUCCUUAAUCAUGAAAUGAAGCUGGAGCCUGGACAAGAUGAAGCAGUUGUUUGGAGUGGCAGGUGAUACUUUUGAAGAAGGGACAGAAGUGCCUCAUCAUAAGUAAAGGUCCUUCAGGGACUUCCCUGGUGGCAUAGUGGUUAAGAAUCCGCCUACCAAUUCAGGGGACAUGGGUUCGAGCCCUGGUCCAGGAAGAUCCCACGUGCCGCGGAGCAACUAAGCCUGUGCGCCACAACUGCUGCGCCACAGCUACUGAAGCCCGUGUGCCUAGAGCCUGUGCUCUGCAACAAGAGAAGCCACCGCAAUGAGAAGCCCGCGCACCGCAACGAAGAGUAGCCCCUGCUUGCAGCAACUAGAGAAAGCCUGCGCGCAGCAACGAAGACCCAAUGCAGCCAAAAAUAAGUAGAUAGACAAAUUUAUUUUUUUAAAAAAAAAGGUCCUUCGGAAGCCAAGUGUUUCAGUGAAGCAUGUGUGGUGGGUAGAAUAAUGGCCCCCCCAAAGGUGUCCACCUUCUAACCCCUGGAACCUAUAAAUAUGUUACCUUACAAUAGCAUAAUGGACUGUGCAGAUGUGAUAGAUGUGAUUAAGUUAAGAAUCUUGAGGUGAGAAGAUUAUCCUGGAUCAUCUGGCUGGUCUCAAUCUAGUCUCAAAGACCCUUAUAAAAGGGAGGCAGAGGCAGAGUCAGAAAAGGACAUGUGAAAAAGAUGUGUCGGGGUGGGGGGGAGAAAAGAAAAAAGAGAAGAUGUAUGAGGUGGUUAUUGGCUGAGGAGGGCCGUGAGUCGAGGAAUGAGGACAGCCUCUAAAAGCUGGACAAGGCAAGGAAAUGAUUCUUCCCUAGAGUCUCCUAGAAGCGUGGUGCCCUUUUGACACCUUGAUUUUAGCCCAGUGAUACGCUAUUUUGUGCUUCUGAUUUCCAGAGCUGUGAGAUAGAUACGCUACAUUGUUUUACACCGCUAAGGUUGUGGUCAUUUGUUACAGCAGCAAUAGGAAACUAAUACGGCAAGACAGACUCAGGAGAGGCACAUAUGUAACAGCAGCUCAACCAUAGACAGCAACAUUCUCCUAGCAACAACAAGACAUCUCCUUAAAAGUAAACAUUCCUUCUUGAUGUGUAAAGGAUCACAAGACCCACGACAAUGGUGCUUAAAUCUGGAUUAGUGCGGAGUAGCCAGUGAGAUCUUAAUUCCCCGACCUGGGAUAGAACCCAUGCCCCCCAAACCCAUGCCCCACCCCUCUCAGUGGAAGCAUGGAGGGUUAACCACUGAACUGCCAGGGAAAUCCCACACUGUGUCUUGACUUCUAAGGGGUGGAAGUUCUCAGAGCUUUCUGAGAUGCUCUUCUGGGUUAAAAUCCUCGAAUUUACCUCAAAUAAAAUUUUGCAAUUCUUAGAUUGACUGAUAAAUUUUUCAUUGACACUUUUUUUGCUCAGUAUCCUGUGAAAUUAAUCUACAUGAUUAGGUGUAUCCGUGGUUCAUUUCUUUCUGUUGCUGAGUGGAAUUCCAUCAUAUGGGUA